GUCACAUGAUGCUUUUUUGCCUGCACACCGCUGUACAGCAAAUUAAAAAAAGUUGUAAAAUCCAGCUUCCCAUAUAAAAGAUGAUCUUUAUUUACUUGCGGUAAAAUCCAGACAUCAAACACUUGUACAGUCUACCCAUUUCGGACCUCUGUAUACCGGUCCUUCAUCAUGACAUGUAAAAGUGAAAA